AGUAAGAUAAGCUAAAUUGAAGCUAGUGGGCUCAUGACCCGAAAAUGAUUAAUUCUCUUACUA
rnacentral:tRNA from 1 species